AUUGAACGCUGGCGGCAUGCCUAACACAUGCAAGUCGAGCGGAUGAAGGGAGCUUGCUCCUGGAUUCAGCGGCGGACGGGUGAGUAAUGCCUAGGAAUCUGCCUGGUAGUGGGGGAUAACGUCCGGAAACGGGCGCUAAUACCGCAUACGUCCUGAGGGAGAAAGUGGGGGAUCUUCGGACCUCACGCUAUCAGAUGAGCCUAGGUCGGAUUAGCUAGUUGGUGGGGUAAAGGCCUACCAAGGCGACGAUCCGUAACUGGUCUGAGAGGAUGAUCAGUCACACUGGAACUGAGACACGGUCCAGACUCCUACGGGAGGCAGCAGUGGGGAAUAUUGGGCAAUGGGCGAAAGCCUGAUCCAGCCAUGCCGCGUGUGUGAAGAAGGUCUUCGGAUUGUAAAGCACUUUAAGUUGGGAGGAAGGGCAGUAAGUUAAUACCUUGCUGUUUUGACGGUACCAACAGAAUAAGCACCGGCUAACUACGUG
rnacentral:rRNA from 1 species